GCUUAGAGUAUGGCCACAUGAAUGACUCAGCGCAGUAUGAAGUCUUUGUUUUCUUCCGAAAACAAGCUCAAUGAGAGCCAUCGGGGGUAGAUCUAUCUCAUGACGAGUGGUGGAAUACUUUGACUCAUGAGAGAGAAGCUGAGGCGAAGGCGUCUACCUAGAGGGUUUCUGUCGAUCAAGGGCGAGAGUAGGAGUAUCCACAGGAUUAGAGACCCUGGUAGUUCCUACCUUAAACGAUGCCGACAGGAGUUUGUCAUUUGUUAAUGGCAGAAUCUUUGGAGAAAUCAUAGUUCUUGGGCUCUGGGGGAACUACGACCGCAAGGCUGAAACUUGAAGGAAUUGACGGAAGGGCACACCAGGGGUGGAGCCUGUGGCUUAAUUUGAAUCAACACGGGGAAACUUA
rnacentral:rRNA from 1 species